rnacentral:rRNA from 1 species
UCGAGAAUCUUUCGCAAUGGGCGCAAGCCUGACGAAGCGACGCCGUGUGAGCGAAGAAGGCCUUCGGGUUGUAAAGCUCUUUCGCUUGGGAACAAGAAAGGGGUACUAAUACUAUCCCAAUUUGAGGGUACUAGGUAAAGAAGCACCGGCUAACUCCGUGCCAGCAGCUGCGGUAAUACGGAGGGUGCAAGCAUUGAUCGGAAUUAUUGGGCGUAAAGGGCGCGUAGGCGGCCAGGUAAGUCAAAUGUGAAAUUCCGCGGCUCAACCGCGGAGCUGCAUUUGAAACUGCUUGGCUUGAGCGUAGUUAGGGAAAACGGAAUUCCACGUGUAGCGGUGAAAUGCGUAGAUAUGUGGAAGAACACCGGUGGUGAAGACGGUUUUCUGGGCUAUAGCUGACGCUGAGGCGCGAAAGCUAGGGGAGCAAACA